AUUGAACGCUGGCGGCAGGCCUAACACAUGCAAGUCGAGCGGCAGCGGAAAGUAGCUUGCUACUUUGCCGGCGAGCGGCGGACGGGUGAGUAAUGUCUGGGAAACUGCCUGAUGGAGGGGGAUAACUACUGGAAACGGUAGCUAAUACCGCAUAACGUCGCAAGACCAAAGAGGGGGACCUUCGGGCCUCUUGCCAUCAGAUGUGCCCAGAUGGGAUUAGCCAGUAGGUGGGGUAACGGCUCACCUAGGCGACGAUCCCUAGCUGGUCUGAGGGGAUGACCAGCCACACUGGGAGUGAGGCACGGUCCAGACUCUGACGGGAGGCAGCAGUGGGGAGUAUUGCGCGAUGGGCGCAAGCCUGAUGCAGCCAUGCCGCGUGUAUGAAGAAGGCCUUCGGGUUGUAAAGUACUUUCAGCGGGGAGGAAGGUGUUGAGGUUAAUAACCUCAGCAAUUGACGUUACCCGCAGAAGAAGCACCGGCUAACUCCGUGCCAGCCGCCGCCGUAACAC
rnacentral:rRNA from 1 species